rnacentral:tRNA from 1 species
UGCCCGGUAGUGUAAUUGGCAACACAACAGCUUUUGGAGCUGUCUUCCCUGGUUCGAGUCCAGGCCGGGCAGCCA